UCCCUGGUGGUCCGGGGGCUAGGACUCCACACUCUCAAUGCAGAGGGCCUGGGUUCAAACCUCAGUCAGUGAA
rnacentral:tRNA from 1 species